CCUACGGGAGGCAGCAGUGGGGAAUAUUGGACAAUGGGCGCAAGCCUGAUCCAGCAAUGCCGCGUGUGUGAAGAAGGUCUUCGGAUUGUAAAGCACUUUCGACGGGGACGAUGAUGACGGUACCCGUAGAAGAAGCCCCGGCUAACUUCGUGCCAGCAGCCGCGGUAAUACGAAGGGGGCUAGCGUUGCUCGGAAUGACUGGGCGUAAAGGGCGCGUAGGCGGAUGAUACAGUCAGAUGUGAAAUUCCCGGGCUCAACCUGGGGGCUGCAUUUGAUACGUGCUGUCUAGAGUGAGGAAGAGGGUCGUGGAAUUCCCAGUGUAGAGGUGAAAUUCGUAGAUAUUGGGAAGAACACCGGUGGCGAAGGCGGCGACCUGGUCCUUUACUGACGCUGAGGCGCGAAAGCGUGGGGAGCAAACAGGAUUAGAUACCCUGGUAGUCCACGCCGUAAACGAUGUGUGCUGGAUGUUGGGUGACAUAGUCACUCAGUGUCGUAGCUAACGCGAUAAGCACACCGCNGGAGACGCGCAGUAGAACACAANAGAUGNGNGNGAGAGNGCGAGACGACACGAGGGAGAGG
rnacentral:rRNA from 1 species